CGGGUGAGUAACACGUGGGCAAUCUGCCCUGCACUCUGGGAUAACUCCGGGAAACCGGAGCUAAUACCGGAUACGAUCCUCCAGGGCAUCCUGGGGGGUGGAAAGCUCCGGCGGUGCAGGAUGAGCCCGCGGCCUAUCAGCUGGUUGGUGGGGUGACGGCCCACCAAGGCGACGACGGGUAGCCGGCCUGAGAGGGCGACCGGCCACACUGGGACUGAGACACGGCUACAGACUCCUACGGGAGGCAGCAGUGGGGAAUAUUGCACAAUGGGCGCAAGCCUGAUGCAGCGACGCCGCGUGAGGGAUGACGGCCUUCGGGUUGUAAACCUCUUUCAGCAGGGAAGAAGCGGAAGUGACGGUACCUGCAGAAGAAGCACCGGCUAACUACGUGCCAGCAGCCGCGGUAAUACGUAGGGUGCGAGCGUUGUCCGGAAUUAUUGGGCGUAAAGAGCUCGUAGGCGGCCUGUCGCGUCGGAUGUGAAAGCCCGGGGCUUAACCCCGGGUCGGCAUUCGAUACGGGCAGGCUAGAGUUCGGUAGGGGAGAUCGGAAUUCCUGGUGUAGCGGUGAAAUGCGCAGAUAUCAGGAGGAACACCGGUGGCGAAGGCGGAUCUCUGGGCCGAUACUGACGCUGAGGAGCGAAAGCGUGGGGAGCGAACAGGAUUAGAUACCCUGGUAGUCCACGCCGUAAACGUUGGGCACUAGGUGUGGGCGGCAUUCCACGUCGUCCGUGCCGCAGCUAACGCAUUAAGUGCCCCGCCUGGGGGAGUACGGCCGCAAGUCUAAAACUCAAAGGAAUUGACGGGGGCCCGCA
rnacentral:rRNA from 1 species